rnacentral:rRNA from 1 species
CCUACGGGUGGCAGCAGUGAGGAAUAUUGGUCAAUGGGCGCGAGCCUGAACCAGCCAAGUAGCGUGAAGGAUGACUGCCCUACGGGUUGUAAACUUCUUUUAUAAAGGAAUAAAGUGAGGCACGUGUGCCUUUUUGUAUGUACUUUAUGAAUAAGGAUCGGCUUACUCCGUGCCAGCAGCCGCGGUAAUACGGAGGAUCCGAGCGUUAUCCGGAUUUAUUGGGUUUAAAGGGAGCGUAGAUGGGUUGUUAAGUCAGUUGUGAAAGUUUGCGGGUCAACCGUGAAAUUGCAAUUGCUACUGGCAGUCUUGAGUACAGUGGAGGUAGGCGGGAUUCGUGGGGGAGCGGUGAAAUGCUUAGGUAAC